CCUACGGGGGGCUGCAGUGGGGAAUAUUGGACAAUGGGCGAAAGCCUGAUCCAGCCAUGCCGCGUGUGUGAAGAAGGCCUUCGGGUUGUAAAGCACUUUCAGUGGGGAAGAAAGCCUUGGGGCUAAUACCCCCGAGGAAGGACAUCACCCACAGAAGAAGCACCGGCUAACUCCGUGCCAGCAGCCGCGGUAAUACGGAGGGUGCGAGCGUUAAUCGGAAUUACUGGGCGUAAAGCGCGCGUAGGCGGUCUGAUAAGCCGGUUGUGAAAGCCCCGGGCUCAACCUGGGAACGGCAUCCGGAACUGUCAGGCUAGAGUGCAGGAGAGGAAGGUAGAAUUCCUGGUGUAGCGGUGAAAUGCGUAGAGAUCGGGAGGAAUACCAGUGGCGAAGGCGGCCUUCUGGACUGACACUGACGCUGAGGUGCGAAAGCGUGGGUAGCAAACAGGAUUAGAUACCCUGGUAGUC
rnacentral:rRNA from 1 species